rnacentral:rRNA from 1 species
UACGUAGGGUCCGAGCGUUGUCCGGAAUUAUUGGGCGUAAAGGGCUCGUAGGCGGUUUGUCGCGUCGGGAGUGAAAACACGGGGCUUAACCCCGAGCCUGCUUCCGAUACGGGCUGACUAGAGGUAUGCAGGGGAGAACGGAAUUCCUGGUGUAGCGGUGAAAUGCUUAGAGAUCGUCCAGAACACCGAUAGCGAAGGCAGCUUACUAAAGAGUAACUGACGCUGAGGCACGAAAGUGUGGGGAUCAAACAGG